rnacentral:rRNA from 1 species
UGGGGAAUUGUUCGCAAUGGGCGCAAGCCUGACGACGCAACGCCGCGUGGAGGAUGAAGGUCUUCGGAUUGUAAACUCCUGUUGCCCGGGACGAAUGGCUUCAACCUAAUACGUUGGAGUGUGACGGUACCGGGUGAGGAAGCCCCGGCUAACUCUGUGCCAGCAGCCGCGGUAAUACAGAGGGGGCAAGCGUUGUUCGGAAUUACUGGGCGUAAAGGGCGCGUAGGCGGCCUGCUAAGUCGAACGUGAAAUCCCUGGGCUCAACCCAGGAACUGCGUCCGAUACUGGUUGGCUUGAAUCCGGGAGAGGGAUGUGGAAUUCCAGGUGUAGGGGUGAAAUGCGUAGAUAUCUGGAGGAACACCGGUGGCGAAGGCGACAUCCUGGACCGGUAUUGACGCUGAGGCGCGAAAGCCAGGGGAGCAAACGGGAUUAGAUACCCCGGUAGUCCUGGCCCUAAACGAUGAAUGCUUGGUGUGGUGGGUAUCGAUCCCUACCGUGCCGAAGCUAACGCAUUAAG